rnacentral:rRNA from 1 species
CCUACGGGGGGCAGCAGUGGGGAAUAUUGGACAAUGGGCGAAAGCCUGAUCCAGCCAUGCCGCGUGUGUGAAGAAGGCCUUCGGGUUGUAAAGCACUUUCAGUGGGGAAGAAAGCCUUGGGGCUAAUACCCUCGAGGAAGGACAUCACCCACAGAAGAAGCACCGGCUAACUCCGUGCCAGCAGCCGCGGUAAUACGGAGGGUGCGAGCGUUAAUCGGAAUUACUGGGCGUAAAGCGCGCGUAGGCGGUCUGAUAAGCCGGUUGUGAAAGCCCCGGGCUCAACCUGGGAACGGCAUCCGGAACUGUCAGGCUAGAGUGCAGGAGAGGAAGGUAGAAUUCCCGGUGUAGCGGUGAAAUGCGUAGAGAUCGGGAGGAAUACCAGUGGCGAAGGCGGCCGUCUGGACUGACACUGACGCUGAGGUGCGAAAGCGUGGGUAGCAAACAGGAUUAGAUACCCCGGUAGUC